AGUAGAGUGGCGGACGGGUGAGUAACGCGUAGGAAUCUGUCCUGUAGUGGGGGAUAACGUUUCGAAAGGAACGCUAAUACCGCAUACGCCCCAUGGGGGAAAGCGGGGGAUCUUCGGACCUCGUGCUAUAGGAGGAGCCUGCGUCGGAUUAGCUAGUUGGUGAGGUAAAGGCUCACCAAGGCGACGAUCCGUAGCUGGUCUGAGAGGAUGAUCAGCCACACCGGAACUGAGACACGGUCCGGACUCCUACGGGAGGCAGCAGUGGGGAAUAUUGCGCAAUGGGCGAAAGCCUGACGCAGCCAUACCGCGUGUGUGAAGAAGCCUUCGGGUUGUAAAGCACUUUCAGUGGGGAGGAAAAGCUGGCGGCUAAUAUCCGCCGGCCGUGACGCUCCCACAGAAGAAGCACCGGCUAAUUCCGUGCCAGCAGCCGCGGUAAUACCGAAGGUGCCGAGCGUUUAUCGGAAUUUC
rnacentral:rRNA from 1 species